AUGAGGAGCUUGCUCUUCAAAUCGAGUGGCGGACGGGUGAGUAACGCGUGAGCAACCUGCCUUUCAGUGGGGGACAACAGUUAGAAAUGACUGCUAAUACCGCAUAAUAUCCUUUUGGGGCAUCCCUUUUGGAUCAAAGAUUUAUUGCUGAAAGAUGGGCUCGCGUCUGAUUAGCUAGUUGGUGGGGUAACGGCCCACCAAGGCGACGAUCAGUAGCCGGACUGAGAGGUUGAACGGCCACAUUGGGACUGAGAUACGGCCCAGACUCC
rnacentral:rRNA from 1 species